rnacentral:rRNA from 1 species
ACAGGGUGAUAGCCCCGUACUCGAAGUCCAGGUCAUGGUACUAAGCUAACGAUAAGUAGGGCGGGACACGUGAUAUCCUGUUUGAAGAUGGGGGGACCAUCCUCCAAGGCUAAAUACUCCUGAUUGACCGAUAGUGAACCAGUACUGUGAAGGAAAGGCGAAAAGAACCCCGGUGAGGGGAGUGAAAUAGAACCUGAAACCUUGUACGUACAAGCAGUGGGAGCCCUUUAAGGGUGACUGCGUACCUUUUGUAUAAUGGGUCAGCGACUUAUAUUUUGUAGCGAGGUUAACCGAAUAGGGGAGCCGAAGGGAAACCGAGUCUUAACUGGGCGAAUAGUUGCAAGGUAUAGACCCGAAACCCGGUGAUCUAGCCAUGGGCAGGUUGAAGGUUGGGUAACACUAACUGGAGGACCGAACCGACUAAUGUUGAAAAAUUAGCGGAUGACUUGUGGCUGGGGGUGAAAGGCCAAUCAAACCGGGAGAUAGCUGGUUCUCCCCGAAAUCUAUUUAGGUAGAGCCUUGAGCGGACACCUUCGGGGGUAGAGCACUGUUUCGGCUAGGGGUCCAUCCCGGAUUACCAACCCGAUGCAAACUACGAAUACCGAAGAGUGAUACUCAGGAGACACACGGCGGGUGCUAACGUCCGUCGUGGAGAGGGAAACAACCCAGACCGCCAGCUAAGGUCCCAAAGUCUAUAUUAAGUGGGAAACGAAGUGGGAAGGCUUAGACAGCUAGGAUGUUGGCUUAGAAGCAGCCAUCAUUUAAAGAAAGCGUAAUAGCUCACUAGUCGAGUCGGCCUGCGCGGAAGAUGUAACGGGGCUCAAAUAUAGCACCGAAGCUGCGGCAUCAGUAGCAAUACUGUUGGGUAGGGGAGCGUUGUGUAAGCGGAUGAAGGUGUGUUGAGAAGCAUGCUGGACGUAUCACAAGUGCGAAUGCUGACAUAAGUAACGAUAAAACGGGUGAAAAACCCGUUCGCCGGAAGACCAAGGGUUCCUGUCCAACGUUAAUCGGGGCAGGGUGAGUCGGCCCCUAAGGCGAGGCUGAAAAGCGUAGUCGAUGGGAAACAGGUUAAUAUUCCUGUACUUGGUAAAGCUGCGAUGUGGGGACGGAGCAGGUUAGGUUAUCGCACUGUUGGAUAUGUGCGUUUAAGUUGGUAGGUGGGAAGUUUAGGCAAAUCCGAACUUCCUUAACACUGAGAGAUGAUGACGAGGCUCUACGGAGCUGAAGUAACCGAUACCACACUUCCAGGAAAAGCCACUAAGCGACAGGCUUUACUAAACCGUACUGAAAACCGACACAGGUGGUCAGGUAGAGAAUACUCAGGCGCUUGAGAGAACUCGGGUGAAGGAACUAGGCAAAAUAGCACCGUAACUUCGGGAGAAGGUGCGCCGGCGUAGAUUGUAGUCCCUCGCGGGCGAAGGUUGAACCGGUCGAAGAUACCAGCUGGCUGCAACUGUUUAUUAAAAACACAGCACUCUGCAAACACGAAAGUGGACGUAUAGGGUGUGAUGCCUGCCCGGUGCUGGAAGGUUAAUUGAUGGUGUAAUCGAAAGAGAAGCUCCUGAUCGAAGCCCCAGUAAACGGCGGCCGUAACUAUAACGGUCCUAAGGUAGCGAAAUUCCUUGUCGGGUAAGUUCCGACCUGCACGAAUGGCAUAAUGAUGGCCAGGCUGUCUCCACCCGAGACUCAGUGAAAUUGAAAUCGCCGUGAAGAUGCGGUGUACCCGCGGCUAGACGGAAAGACCCCGUGAACCUUUACUAUAGCUUGACACUGAACAUUGAAUUUUGAUGUGUAGGAUAGGUGGGAGACU